rnacentral:rRNA from 1 species
AGACUUUGAUCCUGGCUCAAAAUGAGCGCUGGCGGCGUGCUUAACACAUGCAAGUCGUGCGAGAAAGUGGCUUCGGCCACAAGUAGAGCGGCGCACGGGUGAGUAACACGUGGGUAAUCUACCUGGGAGUGGGGGAUAACCUGGGGAAACUCGGGCUAAUACCGCAUACGUUUUCGUGAUUGCGGUCGUGAAAGGAAAGUUGGCCUCUACAUGUAAGCUGACGCUCCCAGAUGAGCCCGCGCCCGAUUAGCUUGUUGGUGAGGUAACGGCUCACCAANGCGACGAUCGGUAGCCGGCCUGANAGGGUGAACGGCCACACUGGAACUGAGACACGGUCCAGACUCCUACGGGAGGCAGCAGUGGGGAAUAUUGCGCAAUGGGCGAAAGCCUGACGCAGCAACGCCGCGUGGAGGACNAAGGCCUUCGGGUCGUAAACUCCUGUCAGGUGGGAAGAAAGGGCACGGAAAAAUAUACCCGUGUCUGUGACUGUACCACUAGAGGAAGCCCCGGCUACUCCGUGCCAACAACCCGCGGUAAUACCUGAAGGGGC